ACCCCCUGGAGUGCUUGGAGUUCCGGGGUCAAUGGUAGGAGUAGGUGGUGUUUCAAUGAUUGGAGUAGUUGGGGUAGUAGGUGUAGGGGAAGGAUAGUAACCACCACCCCCUGGAGUGCUUGGAGUACCAGGGUCAACGGUAGGCGUAGGUGGUGUUUCAAUGGUAGGUGUAGAGGGGGUGGUAGGUGUAGGUGUAGGCGAAGGAUAGUAGCCACCACCACCUGGAGUGCUUGGAGUUCCGGGGUCAGCGGUAGGAGUAGGUGGUGUUUCAAUAGUAGGUGCGGAGGGAGUGGAUGGUGUACUAGGGGUACUAGGUGUAGGAGUACUUGGAGUCGGGGAAGGAUAGUAGCCACUUCCACCCCCUGGAGUACUUGGAGUGCCAGGGUCUGGAGUUGGGGUUACAACAGGUGUAGAGGGGGUGGAUGGUGUACUAGGGGUACUAGGUGUUGGAGUACUAGGAGGGCUUCCUCCACCAUGAUGAGCUGGUGGAGAGGGAGAAUAACCACCACCUCCAUGACCGCCUGAUGGAGGAGAUGGGGUAGG
rnacentral:lncRNA from 1 species